rnacentral:ncRNA from 1 species
AUUGUUGCGAUGAAGGGGAGAGUAGUAUCGGUGCGAGCGCUCCAGAGAGGGGGCCAAGGGUGCGAGGCUCCCGCGCUUGUCGGUAUGAAGACCACCCCGGAGCUGCCGUCGAAGCCUUAGCUUUAGGAUAAGGCGGCGGGGUCCGCCCCAAACAGCGGAUUUCGAGCGCCGGGCUCAGUGCCCGGAAGAGGAGUGGAACCGCGGGAUCUUGCCCGUCUCCUUG